rnacentral:rRNA from 1 species
UACGGAAGGGGCAAGCGUUGUUCGGAAUCAUUGGGCGUAAAGGGCGCGUAGGUGGUUCUGUAUGUCUACCGUGAAAGCGUACGGCUCAACCGUAUUUUGUCGGUGGAAACUGCAGGACUUGAGGCUGGGAGGGGCUGGUGGAAUUCCCUGUGUAGCGGUGAAAUGCGUAGAGAUCGGGAGGAACACCGGCGGCGAAGGCGGCUGCCUGGACCAGUCCGUGACGCUGACGGC